GCCAGAUUGGCCGAGCGGUCUAAGGCGCCAGACUUAAGUUCUGGUCCUCUUUAGAGGGCGUGGGUUCAAAUCCCACUUUUGACA
rnacentral:tRNA from 1 species